AUAAUUGUUUCAUUCUUAUCUCCAUUUUUCUUUCUUUUUUCCAUUUUUUUUUUUUCAGUUGUUCUUUCUCUUUCGCGUUCCCAAAGUUCUUGUGAUU
rnacentral:ribozyme from 14 species